CCCAGGACCCAGCUACUGCAGGAUAGCUGGGGCAGGAGCAGCUGAGUCUAAGGCAUUGGCUACUUUGGCUAGGGCCUGCCAUUUUAGGGCUCCCCAUGGUGCACUGCUGGACAGCCUCAGAUGGUCAUCUUCUGUGUGGACAUCAAGUAAUAAGGCGAUCCCGAUUCUAGAAGGCCCAGGCAGUAGUGGCAACAGUCCAGAAUUUGGUGAGGCCCAGGCAACAACAGUGGAGACAGGCCCAGUUGCAAAGAGCAAAUGAUUGGACUCCAACAAUGACCUUUGCGCUAGGUAUGACUUCAAACAGUGGAACUUUCCCUGAUUUCCAUUGAGUUCAGUUUCAUAGGGCUUCUCGAUGCCCACACUUGAUCAAAGCUUGCCUUGAAGACAGGACGAUUACCUUCACCUCAGCUUUGGAAUUCAGCUGUUUUGUCCUUGUUUGGAUCACAUCUGGAAUGAGAUCUGGAAAUGAGCAACAAUGAUGAUGGCAUUUGAGAAAUUAUCACUUGACCACACUGCUGAGAACACUUUGCAUUGAUUGAAAAUACACUUCUGGGGAGGUAAAUGGCCAGUUUGGAUUUUUCCCUGGUUUUUGCAGACAGGAUAUUAACGAUCUGUCUCUGGGCAAGCAGCCCAAGACUUCAUGGCAGCAAACUAAGGUUGUGUGACUCAAUCUGAACUCCCACUGCAACACUUCAAUGUUGCAUGACUUGUGCUUGUGUUGCAGUGGUAUUUUAUGUCACAUCCUGCAAUAUUUUCAUGGAGUCAUCACCAGUUCCAAACUGAAAUGGAUGGACUCCAAGCACUAUGAAAAGGUGAUGUCAGACCUCCCUACACAAGUACUAGCCGAUCUGCCAAUGUGCCAAGUAUUUCUUUUCACAUGCACUUCAGCCUUUUUCUCUAUGGGAUCAAUUUGAAGUCUUCAUCUCAGAUCUCUGCAGCAGAAUUCACGUGAUUGCAUCUUUCACAGGGCUGACAGACUCUCAACCUUUUCCCUUUGCUCUGGAUGUUGUCUUAUAAUGAGCUGAUCAUGCCACUGUGCUAUUCUAUUUACCAUUAUCUGGCUCCCCAUUACUGGCCACAACCCAAGACACAUCUGCAUUUGUGGUAGUGAUAACCAUCUCUUCUAACAUUGUAAGGACAUGUAGCCACGCUGCUCCCCUCUGGACAAUCUGUUCAGGCGACUGUCAUGGAUGAACGAUGGUUAAUAACUGGCAAUGUAUGUAAGCUAUGAGAUGUGGGUGGUAAGGCUUGUGCUCGUGUGUGAAGGCAAAGUGAAACUAUGAAUGUGAGUCAUUGUUUAUACAGACUGAGAGAAAUUAAAUAUAA